rnacentral:rRNA from 1 species
AGCGAACGUUGGCGGCAGGCCUAACACAUGCAAGUCGAACGAACUCUUCGGAGUUAGUGGCGGACGGGUGAGUAACACGUGGGAACGUGCCUUUAGGUUCGGAAUAACCCAGGGAAACUUGUGCUAAUACCGAAUGUGCCCUUCGGGGGAAAGAUUUAUCGCCUUUAGAGCGGCCCGCGUCAGAUUAGCUAGUUGGUGAGGUAAAGGCUCACCAAGGCGACGAUCAGUAGCUGGUCUGAGAGGAUGAUCAGCCACAUAGGGACUGAGACACGGCCCAAACUCCUACGGGAGGCAGCAGUGGGGAAUCUUGCGCAAUGGGCGAAAGCCUGACGCAGCAAUGCCGCGUGAAUGAUGAAGGUCUUAGGAUUGUAAAAUUCUUUCACCGGGGACGAUAAUGACGGUACCCGGAGAAGAAGCCCCGGCUAACUUCGUGCCAGCAGCCGCCGUAACAC